rnacentral:rRNA from 1 species
UACGUAGGCAGCAAGCGUUGUUCGGAGUUACUGGGCGUAAAGAGUGCGUAGGUGGUGCCCUAAGUCUGUUGUGAAAUCUCCCGGCUUAACUGGGAGGGUGCGGUGGAAACUGGGGUGCUUGAGUGUGGGAGAGGUAAGCGGAAUUCCUGGUGUAGCGGUGAAAUGCGUAGAUAUCAGGAGGAACACCGGUGGUGUAGACGGGUUACUGGACCACGACUGACACUGAGGCACGAAAGCGUGGGUAGCAAACAGG